rnacentral:rRNA from 1 species
CAGUCGCCGCGGUAAUACGAAGGGUGCAAGCGUUACUCGGAAUUACUGGGCGUAAAGCGUGCGUAGGUGGUGGUUUAAGUCCGUUGUGAAAGCCCUGGGCUCAACCUGGGAAUUGCAGUGGAUACUGGGUCACUAGAGUGUGGUAGAGGAUAGUGGAAUUUCCGGUGUAGCAGUGAAAUGCGUAGAGAUCGGAAGGAACAUCUGUGGCGAAGGCGACUAUCUGGGCCAACACUGACACUGAGGCACGAAAGCGUGGGGAGCAAACAGGAUUAGAUACCCGGGUAGUCCCUGUCUCUUAUAC